rnacentral:rRNA from 1 species
ACGUAGGUGGCAAGCGUUGUCCGGAUUUAUUGGGUUUAAAGGGUGCGUAGGCGGUCCUAUAAGUCAGUGGUGAAAUCUCCAGGCUCAACCUGGAAACUGCCAUUGAUACUAUCUGUCUUGAAUAUCGUUGAGGUGGGCAGAAUAUGUCAUGUAGCGGUGAAAUGCAUAGAUAUGACAUAGAACACCGAUUGCGAAGGCAGCUUACUACACGAUCAUUGACGCUGAGGCACGAAAGCGUGGGGAGCAAACAGGA